rnacentral:rRNA from 1 species
CCUGACUGCUAUCGGAUUGAUACUAAGCCAUGCGAGUCUUUGCAGUAAUGCAAGGCAUACGGCUCAGUAACACGUAGUCAACUUACCCUAUGGACGAGGAUAAUCUCGGGAAACUGAGCAUAAUACUCGAUAGAUCAUAAUGCCUGGAAUGGUUUAUGGUUGAAAUGAUUCGUCGCCAUAGGAUGGGACUGCGGCCUAUCAGCUUGUUGGUGAGGUAAUGGCCCACCAAGGCGAUUACAGGUACGGGCUCUGAGAGGAGAAGCCCGGAGAUGGGUACUGAGACAAGGACCCAGGCCCUAUGGGGCGCAGCAGGCGAGAAAACUUUGCAAUGUGCGAAAGCACGACAAGGUUAAUCCGAGUGAUUUCUGCUAAAGAAAUCUUUUGCAAGUCAUAAAACCACUAGUGAAUAAGGGGUGGGCAAGUUCUGGUGUCAGCCGCCGCGGUAAAACCAGCACCUCAAGUGGUCAGGAGGAUUAUUGGGCCUAAAGCAUCCGUAGCCGGCUCUGUAAGUUUUCGGUUAAAUCUAUGCGCUCAACGUAUGGGCUGCCGAAAAUACUGUAGAGAUAGGGAGUGGGAGAGGUAGACGGUACUCGGUAGGAAGGGGUAAAAUCCUUUGAUCUAUCGAUGACCACCUGUGGCGAAGGCGGUCUACCAGAACACGUUCGACGGUGAGGGAUGAAAGCUGGGGGAGCAAACCGGAUUAGAUACCCGGGUAGUCCCAGCUGUAAACUAUGCAAACUCAGUGAUGCAUUGACUUGUGGUCAAUGCAGUGCUGCAGGGAAGCCGUUAAGUUUGCCGCCUGGGAAGUACGUACGCAAGUAUGAAACUUAAAGGAAUUGGCGGGGGAGCACCACAAGGGGUGAAGCCUGCGGUUC